rnacentral:rRNA from 1 species
CCUAGGGGGCUGCAGUACGGAAUAUUGGUCAAUGGCCGCAAGUCUGAACCAGCCAUGCCGCGUGAAGGAAGACGGCCCUACGGGUUGUAAACUUCUUUUGUACGGGAAAAAACCACCGGUCGUGAAUCGGUGCUGAUGGUACCGUAAGAAUAAGCAUCGGCUAACUCCGUGCCAGCAGCCGCGGUAAUACGGAGGAUGCAAGCGUUAUCCGGAUUCAUUGGGUUGAAAGGGUGCGCAGGCGGAAUGAUAAGGCAGUGGUGAAAUCCUACGGCUCAACUGUAGAACUGCCAUUGAUACUGUUGUUCUUGAGUACACUUGGAGUGGGCGGAAUGUGUCAUGUAGCGGUGAAAUGCUUAGAUAUGACACAGAACACCGAUCGCGAAGGCAGCUCACUAAGUUGUAACUGACGCUCAGGCACGAAAGCGUGGGGAUCAAACA